rnacentral:rRNA from 1 species
AGAGUUUGAUCCUGGCUCAGGAUGAACGCUGGCGGCAUGCCUUACACAUGCAAGUCGAACGGUAACGCGGGGCAACCUGGCGACGAGUGGCGAACGGGUGAGUAAUAUAUCGGAACGUGCCCAAUAGUGGGGGAUAGCCCGGCGAAAGCCGGAUUAAUACCGCAUGAGACCUGAGGGUGAAAGCGGGGGACUCGCAAGGGCCUCGCGCGAUUGGAGCGGCCGAUAUCAGAUUAGCUAGUUGGUGGGGUAAAAGCUCACCAAGGCGACGAUCUGUAGCUGGUCUGAGAGGACGACCAGCCACACUGGAACUGAGACACGGUCCAGACUCCUACGGGAGGCAGCAGUGGGGAAUUUUGGACAAUGGGCGCAAGCCUGAUCCAGCAAUGCCGCGUGCAGGAUGAAGGCCUUCGGGUUGUAAAGCUCUUUCAGCANGNGCGAAACGGUCGGCUUUAAUAAAGUCGGCUAAUGACGGUACCUGCAGAAGAAGCACCGGCUAACUACGUGCCAGCAGCCGCGGUAAUA